rnacentral:rRNA from 1 species
AACGCGAAGAACCUUACCUGGGCUUGAACUACUCGUGGUAAGCCGAUGGAAACAUUGGCUGACCCGCAAGGGAGCGAGCAGAGGUGCUGCAUGGUUGUCGUCAGCUCGUGUCGUGAGAUGUUGGGUUAAGUCCCGCAACGAGCGCAACCCCUACUCGAUGUUGCUAAUCCCGCAAGGGAUGCACUCUUCGAGAACUGCCUUCGAUAAGAAGGAGGAAGGUGGGGACGACGUCAAAUCCUCAUGGCCCUUAUGUCCAGGGCUACACACGUGCUACAAUGGCCGGUACAACGGGAAGCAAUACCGCAAGGUGGAGCCAAACCCUGAAAGCCGGCCUCAGUUCAGAUCGUGGGCUGCAACUCGCCCGCGUGAAGGCGGAAUCGCUAGUAAUCGCGAAUCAGCAGGUCGCGGUGAAUACGUUCCCGGGCCUUGUA